CCCUUCGGGGAGCGGGUCACUGGCCUCCUAUGUUCCUAACGGUCCUCAUCCGCGAGGGUGGGGAAUCAACCGCUAGGAUCGUUUACUUUGAGGAAAUUAGAGUGUUCAAAGCAGGCGUAACUCGCCUCCGAAUACGUUAGCAUGGGAUAAUGGAAUACGACUUCGGUCUUGUUUCGUUGGUUUCGCUUGGCUGAAGUAAUGAUUGAUAGGGACAGUUGGGGGCAUUAUUAUUUAGUUGUCAGAGGUGAAAUUCUAGGAUUUACUAAAGACUGACCAAUGCGAAAGCAUUUGCCAAGGAUGUUUUCAUUAAUCAAGAACGAAAGUAGGGGGAUCGAAGACGAUCAGAUACCGUCGUAGUCUCUACCGUAAACUAUGCCGACCAGGGAUCCGGAGAGUUUGCAUGGAUGACUCCCCGGGCACCUUGUGAGAAAUCAUAAGUGUUUGGGUUUUGGGGGGAG
rnacentral:rRNA from 1 species